rnacentral:rRNA from 1 species
GGGCCCGCACAAGCGGUGGAGCAUGUGGUUUAAUUCGAUGAUACGCGAGGAACCUUACCAAGGCUUAAAUGUAGGAGGACAGGCUGUGAAAACAGCCCUUCUUCGGACUUCCUACAAGGUGCUGCAUGGUUGUCGUCAGCUCGUGCCGUGAGGUGUCGGGUUAAGUCCCAUAACGAGCGCAACCCCUAUCUUUAGUUGCCAGCGGUUCGGCCGGGGACUCUAAAGAAACUGCCCGCGCAAGCGGUGAGGAAGGUGGGGAUGACGUCAAAUCAUCACGGCCCUUACGUCUUGGGCUACACACGUGCUACAAUGGUAGUGACAAUGGGCAGCCACCCCGCGAGGGGGAGCAAA